CUACAUGAUGAAAAACAGGUAAUGCAGCACCAGAUUUGAGUAGAGAAUGAUGUGGCAAAAGACAUCCCAAUACUCUCUGGAA